AACGAACGCUGGCGGCAAGCUUAACACAUGCAAGUCGAACGCUCGUAGCAAUACGGGAGUGGCAGACGGGUGAGUAACGCGUGGGAACAUACCCUUUGGUUCGGAAUAACUGAGGGAAAUUUCAGCUAAUACCGGAUGUGCCCUUCGGGGGAAAGAUUUAUCGCCAAAGGAUUGGCCCGCGUCUGAUUAGCUAGUUGGUGAGGUAACGGCCCACCAAGGCGACGAUCAGUAGCUGGUCUGAGAGGAUGAUCAGCCACACUGGGACUGAGACACGGCCCAGACUCCUACGGGAGGCAGCAGUGGGGAAUAUUGGACAAUGGGGGCAACCCUGAUCCAGCCAUGCCGCGUGAGUGAUGAAGGCCUUAGGGUUGUAAAGCUCUUUCGCUAGGGAAGAUAAUGACGGUACCUAGAGAAGAAGCCCCGGCUAACUUCGUGCCAGCAGCCGCGGUAA
rnacentral:rRNA from 1 species